rnacentral:rRNA from 1 species
UACGUAGGGUGCAAGCGUUGUCCGGAAUUAUUGGGCGUAAAGAGCUCGUAGGCGGUCUGUCGCGUCGGAUGUGAAAAUCCAGGGCUCAACCCUGGACCUGCAUUCGAUACGGGCAGACUAGAGUUCGGCAGGGGAGACUGGAAUUCCUGGUGUAGCGGUGAAAUGCGCAGAUAUCAGGAGGAACACCGGUGGCGAAGGCGGGUCUCUGGGCAGUUACUGACGCUGAGGAGCGAAAGCGUGGGGAGCGAACAGG